GUAGUCGUGGCCGAGUGGUUAAGGCGAUGGAUUAGAAAUCCAUUGAGGGUACCUUGUGCAGUUUCAAAUCCUGCCUACUACG